rnacentral:rRNA from 1 species
UACGGAGGGAGCUAGCGUUGUUCGGAAUUACUGGGCGUAAAGCGCACGUAGGCGGCUUUGUAAGUUAGAGGUGAAAGCCCGGGGCUCAACUCCGGAACUGCCUUUAAGACUGCAUCGCUUGAAUCCAGGAGAGGUGAGUGGAACUGCGAGUGUAGAGGUGAAAUUCGUAGAUAUUCGCAAGAACACCAGUGGCGAAGGCGGCUCACUGGCCCGGUACUGACGCUGAGGUGCGAAAGCGUGGGGAGCAAACAGG